GGGUGCGAUCAUACCAGCGUUAAUGGACCGGAUCCCAUCAGAACUCCGCAGUUAAGCCCGCUUGGGGAAGAGUAGUACUGGGAUGGGUGACCUCCCCGGAAGUCCUAUUGUUGCACCCU
rnacentral:rRNA from 1 species